GAUGAACGCUGGCGGCGUGCCUAAUACAUGCAAGUCGAACGCUUUGUGGUUCAACUGAUUUGAAGAGCUUGCUCAGAUAUGACGAUGGACAUUGCAAAGAGUGGCGAACGGGUGAGUAACACGUGGGAAACCUACCUCUUAGCAGGGGAUAACAUUUGGAAACAGAUGCUAAUACCGUAUAACAAUGACAACCGCAUGGUUGUUAUUUAAAAGAUGGUUCUGCUAUCACUAAGAGAUGGUCCCGCGGUGCAUUAGCUAGUUGGUAAGGUAAUGGCUUACCAAGGCGAUGAUGCAUAGCCGAGUUGAGAGACUGAUCGGCCACAAUGGGACUGAGACACGGCCCAUACUCCUACGGGAGGCAGCAGUAGGGAAUCUUCCACAAUGGGCGAAAGCCUGAUGGAGCAACGCCGCGUGUGUGAUGAAGGGUUUCGGCUCGUAAAACACUGUUGUAAGAGAAGAAUGACAUUGAGAGUAACUGUUCAAUGUGUGACGGUAUCUUACCAGAAAGGAACGGCUAAAUACGUGCCAGCAGCCGCGGUAAUACGUAUGUUCCAAGCGUUAUCCGGAUUUAUUGGGCGCAAAGCGAGCGCAGACGGUUAUUUAAGUCUGAAGUGAAAGCCCUCAGCUCAACUGAGGAAUUGCUUUGGAAACUGGAUGACUUGAGUGCAGUAGAGGAAAGUGGAACUCCAUGUGUAGCGGUGAAAUGCGUAGAUAUAUGGAAGAACACCAGUGGCGAAGGCGGCUUUCUGGACUGUAACUGACGUUGAGGCUCGAAAGUGUGGGUAGCAAACAGGAUUAGAUACCCUGGUAGUCCACACCGUAAACGAUGAGUGCUAGGUGUUUGAGGGUUUCCGCCCUUAAGUGCCGCAGCUAACGCAUUAAGCACUCCGCCUGGGGAGUACGACCGCAAGGUUGAAACUCAAAGGAAUUGACGGGGACCCGCACAAGCGGUGGAGCAUGUGGUUUAAUUCGAAGCAACGCGAAGAACCUUACCAGGUCUUGACAUCCCUUGACAACUCCAGAGAUGGAGCGUUCCCUUCGGGGACAAGGUGACAGGUGGUGCAUGGUUGUCGUCAGCUCGUGUCGUGAGAUGUUGGGUUAAGUCCCGCAACGAGCGCAACCCUUAUUACUAGUUGCUAGCAUUCAGUUGGGCACUCUAGUGAGACUGCCGGUGACAAACCGGAGGAAGGUGGGGAUGACGUCAAAUCAUCAUGCCCCUUAUGACCUGGGCUACACACGUGCUACAAUGGCGUAUACAACGAGUUGCCAACCCGCGAGGGUGAGCUAAUCUCUUAAAGUACGUCUCAGUUCGGAUUGUAGGCUGCAACUCGCCUACAUGAAGUCGGAAUCGCUAGUAAUCGCGGAUCAGCACGCCGCGGUGAAUACGUUCCCGGGUCUUGUACACACCGCCCGUCACACCAUGAGAGUUUGUAACACCCAAAGCCGGUGGGGUAACCUUCGGGAGCCAGCCGUCUAAGGUGGGACAGAUGAUUAGGGUG
rnacentral:rRNA from 1 species